GACGUAGGGCGCGAGCGUUGUCCGGAUUUAUUGGGCGUAAAGAGCUCGUAGGUGGUUUGUCGCGUUGUCCGUGAAAACUCACAGCUCAACUGUGGGCGUGCGGGCGAUACGGGCAGACUGGAGUACUGCAAGGGAGACUGGAAUUCCUGGUGUAGCGGUGGAAUGCGCAGAUAUCAGGAGGAACACCGGUGGCGAAGGCGGGUCUCUGGGCAGUAACUGACGCUGAGGAGCGAAAGCGUGGGGAGCGAACAGG
rnacentral:rRNA from 1 species